rnacentral:rRNA from 1 species
CCUACGGGUGGCAGCAGUCGAGAAUCAUUCACAAUGGGGGAAACCCUGAUGGUGCGACGCCGCGUGGGGGAAUGAAGGUCUUCGGAUUGUAAACCCCUGUCAUGUGGGAGCAAAUUAAAAAGAUAGUACCACAAGAGGAAGAGACGGCUAACUCUGUGCCAGCCGCCGCGGUAAUACAGAGGUCUCAAGCGUUGUUCGGAAUCACUGGGCGUAAAGCGUGCGUAGGCUGUUGCGUAAGUCGUGUGUGAAAGGCGAGGGCUCAACCAGGGGACGGCACAUGAUACUGCGAGACUAGAGUAAUGGAGGGGGAACCGGAAUUCUCGGUGUAGCAGUGAAAUGCGUAGAUAUCGAGAGGAACACUCGUGGCGAAGGCGGGUUCCUGGACAUUAACUGACGCUGAGGCACGAAGGCCAGGGGAGCGAAAGGGAUUAGAUACCCUAGUAGUC